rnacentral:lncRNA from 1 species
CCCGCUGCGACUGGCGCGUGGCCGCCAGCCCCCGUCGCCUCGUUACUGCUGGAGCCGCGGGCGCGGAGCGGCCUGAGGGGCGCAAGGCAGAUCGCCCCGGGCCCCAGCCACAGCUCGCACAGCGCCCCCGGACACGGGCCACGCACCCCCGGACUGCCACCAGGACCUCACGCGCAGUGACGUGCCACACCAGGUUGCAUACACACACACAAGUGACCUGCAGCAAAAAAUAUGCAAAAGGCACCAUGCCAGAUUAACUGGAGGAUGUUCAAGAAGCACACUCUUUGAGAGAGAAAGUGGGCUGAGUUCCCCUGAGAUGGGUGUAGGAAUAAGAGUCAAGACAAGAUGCUAAUCCUCCUGAUGUUAAUAGGAGCAGUGGGACUUCUUAGCAUAUCCAGACACAACCUAUAGUAGGAAUCACCACUAGCAAUCACCACCACCAUAGCCGAGGCUGAUGUCAACAAGAACAUGAAGUAAAGAUAAAACAGCAAUGAACGUAUAGCCAUUGAAAGUCAUGAGCAAUGUGUCUUUCUCUUGCAAUGUAACGAUGACAUGAAAUUACACUGGAGACUGAGGGUGAAAUCCACAGCCAUUAGCCCCAUGGUUUGAAACUUUGUUAUAGUUAGAAACUUUACAUGGGAAGGAGAUCCAUGUAUUAUGGCAAACUCUUUGGGAGACUAUCAAAGUGUUCUACAAUCAGUGACAGACAACACUUGAUGGAAAAAUAUGCUAAGCUCCAAAGCCAGUUCCUUUUUCAGAGGAAUUAGUUUUGGCAAUCCCAGCAGUUCAAAACAGACUAACAAAUUGUAUGUUUACCAUGUUAAAUGAUAUAGGAAUUUAAGUAGUUUUAAUGUUAGUAAUAUUAAUAGCUCUUAGCUCAAAUGUUAUUGGCUAUAACUGUGUUUGUUAUGUUAUGUUAUAUGUGUUGCUUGUAUAAUCAACUGAAAAUGUUAAUGGCCAGGAAAGUCCUCCUGUGUAAAGAAUAGUGGCUGGGUUGAGGUAACAAGACUGCCACAAAGAAGAUCAAUCUCUGCUAAUAGUUGCCACCCACGAGGCAUAUGGAGAGUGGAUUUUGUGCUCAACACUAGAUCCUUGCCAUAAGAUGAUAACAGUCUAACUAAAACCUCAAUCAAUCUCCGCGGACGUUUCCUGGAAGUUUUGCAGAGGUGGCACCCGGUGGCACCUCAAUCAAUACCAUAACAGAGGCUGGGGCAAUCCCAAGUCAAGUUUCAAUUAAUAUCAUCUUUCAUGCCCCUCUAAUUUCAAGACAACAUUUAUGAUACUCAGCAGUAAAAAAAAGUUGCAGUUGAAUAUGAUAAGUUGGAUUCAUCUCACAAAACCUAAGUGGCAGU